CCUAGCCUUUUAAUUGGAGGCCUGCAUGAAUGGCUUGACGAGCGCCCUGCUGUCUCUCUUCCCAUGAACUUUUAAAUUAACUUUCGCGUGCAAAGGCGCGAAUGGCUGAGUUAGACGAAAAGACCCUAUGCAUCUUUACUGAGAGAGAAGAAAGUUCUUUAGCUUGGUUUAGCUGGGGCAGCUGAGGAAAAGGCAAAAUUUCCUUAAUAUAAAUCAUACUGGUGGGUUUAGAUCCAGGCUCUUUAGCGGGCUUGACAAGUAGAAAAGUUACGCUAGGGAUAACAGCGUUAUCCUUCUGUGGAGGUCUUAUCUGCAGGAGGGAUUGCGACCUCGAUGUUGAAUUAGGGAUAUACCAGAAAGGCGCAGAAGCUUUUAUUGUGGGUCUGU
rnacentral:rRNA from 1 species